rnacentral:tRNA from 1 species
GGUGAGAUGGCCGAGUUGGUUAUGGCGCCAGGUUAAGGUGAACCUUAACAGCAUUUCCUGGUGGAGCAAUCCUCCUGGGUUCAAGUCCCAGUCUCAUCA